rnacentral:lncRNA from 1 species
UGUAAUGUUGAUUGAUUUACUAUUGAUUUGUUACAACAAAAAAAAAAAAAAUUUGACAACUCAUCCAGAAAAGGCUAUUAAACCCAAUAAAGAUUUUAUUUACAAUUGAGCCUUUAAUAUUCACAUGAAUACCAACACUUCCUCUAAUCGAUGCAAGAAUUUAUUUCUCCCUUUCUAAACUCUCUUCUUAUGCCAACUUUUUGGACUCAUCGAAUACAUUUUUCUUUCUUUUUAAAACUCUUCUUUUCUUCAUCGACAGCAUUCUUCACUAAUCAGCACUGCUCUUCAUCAUUCUUCAUUUUCUACUACAAGCUGCAAUCAAAUGGUGAGUAAGCUUUCAGGGUUUGGGGUUAAAUGGGGUUUUAGAGAAAGGGUUAAAUAAAAGUAGGGUUUUAGAUUAAAAUAAUUUGAUUAAUUUUUUUAUUAUCGCUCCACUACAUUCAGAUUACUGUUUGUCAAGCCUGUGGGGCUCUGGAAAAUCCUCAACUCUUGAUUUUCUGUUCAACUUGUAACAAUAAUGCUGAACACCUGUAUGUAUGGAUAUAUAUUCUUUCUAUCUUGCAGAUGUGGUGGUGUUUCAAAUUCUUUUUCAUUUCUUCUUUUCUGCAGGUAUUGCUUGACAGAAUAUGAGGAAUGUCUUGGGGAUUUUAUUUGGUCUUGUGAGGAAUGUACACAGCAUAUAAUCCCCACAACCAGUCUAUGCCAAGAGGAGGGUAAGUGAGAACCAAAUGUUUGUAGUUUUCUUACAUUAAUUCCAAUGAAAUUUUAAAAAAUAUUUAUAAAUCAAAACACUUUUGUCUUCUAUUCUAUCCAAAUUUCCAAUGUUUGGGAUUUUGCAUUUUUUACUCACCAUAAAUUAUUUAAAUACACUCCGUUUCUGUAACGGUGUCUACGUGCCGGCAUCUUCGUUCGUUAUGCAUCGCAUGGUUCGAUUUUGGGACGGCACGACGGGUCAUGUCUCGGCACAAAUUCAUUUGCCUACGCCGGUGUCUACAGGUAGAGGUAUGGGUUGCAAUGUACGUCGUCCGGUGGAUAAUUUCACCGUCGUUCAUUGUCCGGACUGUGAACGACACAGCGGGUCCAAUCGGACACCCCAGGUCCCCUCGACGGAGUCCUUAUUUGAACUGGUUCGUAUUUUGGGUAAUUUACUAAAUACCCCUU